rnacentral:rRNA from 1 species
AACGCUGGCGGGCCUGCCUUAAUACAUUCCAGUCGAAACGGUGAAGCCACUUUGCUUGCAGGAGUGCGGGAUGAGUGGCGAAACGGGUGAGUAACACGUGGGGAAAUUCUGCCUAGGAGUGGGGGAUAACAUUUCGGGAAACGGAUGCUAAUCCCGCAUAUCUUCAUUAGACCGCAUGGUCUAUGAAUGAAAGACGGCUUUGCUGUCGCUCUUAGAUGAUCCCGCGGCGUAUUAGUUAGUUGGUGGGGUAAAGGCCUACCAAGACAAUGAUACGUAGCCGACCUGAGAGGGUGAUCGGCCACACUGGGACUGAGACACGGCCCAGACUCUUACGGGAGGCAGCAGUAGGGAAUCUUCCACAAUGGGUGCAAACCUGAUGGAGCAAUGCCGCGUGAAUGAAGAAGGUCUUCGGAUCGUAAAGUUCUGUUAUUAGUGAAGAACAAAUCGAGGAGUAACUGUCUCGAUUUUGACGGUAACUAACCAGAAAGUCACGGCUAACUACGUGCCAGCAGCCGCGGUAAUACGUAGGUGACAAGCGUUGUCCGGAAUUAUUGGGCGUAAAGGGAGCGCAGGCGGUUGGAAUAGUCUGAUGUGAAAGCCCACGGCUUAACCGUGGAAGGUCAUUGGAAACUGUCCAACUUGAAUGCAGAAGAGGUAAGUGGAAUUCCAUGUGUAGCGGUGAAAUGCGUAGAUAUAUGGAGGAACACCAGUGGCGAAGGCGACUUACUGGUCUGUAAUUGACGCUGAGGCUCGAAAGCGUGGGUAGCGAACAGGAUUAGAUACCCUGGUAGUCCACGCCGUAAACGAUGAGUGCUAAGUGUUGGAGGGUUUCCGCCCUUCAGUGCUGGAGUUAACGCAUAAGCCACUCCGCCUGG